ACUUGCGGCAGGCUGCCGCGCACGGUUCUGUCGUCCCGCAGCAAAGAUUCGCCGAGAUCUCAACCACUACACCAUCAUCGACGACUCGCACUUCGCUGACACUUCGAAAUGUGUUUAUUGUAUACGACGGAAGAAUAAUUACUAAGUACAACGUAAACUUGUAACGAAACAUAGUGUGCAAAGGACAUGGAAAUUGAAAAAACUGACUUCAUACGUAAAACCAAACGUACAUCACAAAUAAUUUUGCGAACUAGGCGAAUUGUGUACCAAGACAGUUAUGUAUGUUGCUUGCAUCGGCAAAUAUUUCUUCAUGAAGAUGAACUUUAAUAUUUCAAAUCAAACGUACUGUGUACGUAAUACCAAUUACCAGCUCUUUCUUGUUUGCGAGGUAUAUGUGCAAGUCACGCAAAAUGUGUGACAAGACAGUUACAACUACUGCAGGCGCAAAGGCGAACCUUGUUAUUCUAAGAAAAACGUAGAGGAAAGGUGCCUAUUGAGCGAUAGUUCACUAAUAUGAGACACCCCAACUGUGCUCAUGUUAGGGAGUCGCACUCUGGUGGAGAGUUCGUUAAACCUGUGUGUUGCCUGCCAGACGACGACACAGCGAGGAGGACGCCGUAGUUGAGCCGGACAAAGAUGCUGCUCAAAGUUCGUCCAAGUCGCACCUCUCUACUUCUCAGGACAAGUUCAAAUAGGUCCGAACACGUUCUUCGGUCUGCUUACCUCCUUCCGAGCGCUUACGAGACUUUGUUCUACUCGUCUACUUCGGAAUGGAAAGACGAAACUUUACGUCUGAUGUCAUACAUAGAAACUUGGCUGAAUUGGAGAGAGAGGAAGCAGAGGGUAAAGGCCAGGAGGAAUCCCUAGAAGAUGACGAUUCCGAUGACCCAGAUUAUCAACAAGAAAGGACUGAAGAUGAUAUUCAUCAGAGUGAGUCGGAAAUCGAUUUGUAAAACGGGGGAGAAAAUGACAUCGAUCAACAAGAGCUACCAACAAAUGACUUCAAAUUUUAUAUAGGUUCUAGAAGAGAAGCCAGACAAUGUGAAACUCGACUGGAAAGUUUUCAGUGUAUAACAACUCCCGAAAUGGUAGAAGGGAUCGUAAGGUAAACGAAUAUUUAUAUUGGAAGGCAAAAAUUGGCACGUCAAGCACUGGCAGAAGGAAGCAGUAACUCUGAAGUACGUGAAAGGGAUUAGAAGCCGACAACAACGCCUUUUUUCAAAGCAAAAUUAGCUUUUCUUGUGACGAGUUGACAGUGAAUAAUUCUAGUCUUAAG